rnacentral:pre_miRNA from 1 species
AAAAAGACAAACCCUGAAUUUUCGUAUUCAACGUUUAACUAUCCGUCUUAUAUGAAUUUUUUUAUAAUUAGUAUUUUUAUUGUUGUUAGAUAAUAAAACAUGAUUAAUACUUUAUUCGUGACUUGUCUUUUUAAUUUUUUCAUAAUUUUUUCAAAUAAGACGGAUGGUCAAACGUUGGACACGGAAACUCAGGGCU